CCCUGACUCUUCCAUCUCCAUCCUUCAUGCUUAAAGGAUCCUGGUGAUUACAUUGGACCCUCCCGUACAAUCUAGGAUACAUUUUUAACCUUAAGGUCUUCAAGGGAUCACCACACUGUCUUCCACAAUGGUUGAACUAAUUUUCACCCCCACCAAUGAUGCUACCAUUGAAUUUAAUUAUGAUGCUGUCUUCAACAUGGAAGUUACAUAAGAAAAUCUGAAGCCAUUGUGUAUUUCAGCUAGGCUUCUUCUUAGGAAAUAGAGGUCAGCCUAGUGCAGUGAAGUCUGAUUGGAGGUGGACAAUGAGGAUCCUGCCAAGGUGCUGUCCUUAGCUUCUGUUCAGCCUAAUGUAAGUUCAUUCCUUUUGAUUACAGUCAUUUCAAUGACUUUUUUUGCCCAUAAAAUUAUGACCACAUA
rnacentral:lncRNA from 10 species